rnacentral:rRNA from 1 species
AUUGAACGCUGGCGGCAGGCCUAACACAUGCAAGUCGAGCGGAGCGGCGGACGGGUGCGUAAUGACUAGGACUCUGACUGGUCGUGGGGGAUAACGUCCGGAAACGGGCGCGAAUACCGCAUACUCUCUGAUGAGACUAGGACGGAUUAGCUAGGUGGUGUGGGAAAGGCCUACCAAGGCGACGAUCCGUAACUGGUCUGAGAGGAGGCUCAGUCACAAUGGAACUGAGACACGGUCCAGACUCCUACGGGAGGCAGCAGUGGGGAAUAUUGGACAAUGGGCGAAAGCCUGAUCCAGCCAUGCCGCGUGUGUGAAGAAGGUCUUCGGAUUGUAAAGCACUUUAAGUUGGGAGGCGUUACCAACAGAAAAAGCCCCGGCUAACUACGUGCCAGCAGCCGCGGUAAUAC